rnacentral:rRNA from 1 species
CGCCUACGGGGGGCAGCAGUGGGGGAUAUUGCACAAUGGGGGGAACCCUGAUGCAGCGACGCCGCGUGGGUGAAGGAGCGUUUCGGCGCGUAAAGCCCUAUCGGCAGGGAAGAAGAUGACGGUACCUGACCAAGAAGCCCCGGCUAACUACGUGCCAGCAGCCGCGGUAAUACGUAGGGGGCAAGCGUUAUCCGGAUUUACUGGGUGUAAAGGGCGUGCAGCCGGAGAGACAAGUCAGAUGUGAAAUCCACGGGCUCAACCCGUGAACUGCAUUUGAAACUGUUUCCCUUGAGUGUCGGAGAGGU